rnacentral:rRNA from 1 species
AUUGAACGCUGGCGGCAUGCUUUACACAUGCAAGUCGAACGGUAACAGGUCUUCGGAUGCUGACGAGUGGCGAACGGGUGAGUAAUGUAUCGGAACGUGCCCAGUAGUGGGGGAUAACUACUCGAAAGAGUGGCUAAUACCGCAUGAGAACUGAGGUUGAAAGCGGGGGACCUUCGGGCCUCGCGCUACUGGAGCGGCCGAUAUCAGAUUAGGUAGUUGGUGGGGUAAAGGCCUACCAAGCCGACGAUCUGUAGCUGGUCUGAGAGGACGACCAGCCACACUGGGACUGAGACACGGCCCAGACUCCUACGGGAGGCAGCAGUGGGGAAUUUGGACAAUGGACGCAAGUCUGAUCCAGCAAUGCCGCGUGCAGGACGAAGGCCUUCGGGUUGUAAACUGCUUUUGUACAGAACGAAAAGGCUCUGGUUAAUACCUGGGGCUCAUGACGGUACUGUAAGAAUAAGACACCGGCUAACUACGUGCCAGCAGCCGCGGUAAUUACG